rnacentral:rRNA from 1 species
CGUAGGUAACCUGCCUGGUAGCGGGGGAUAACUAUUGGAAACGAUAGCUAAUACCGCAUAAUAGUAGAUGUUGCAUGACAUUUGCUUAAAAGGUGCAAUUGCAUCACUACCAGAUGGACCUGCGUUGUAUUAGCUAGUUGGUGGGGUAACGGCUCACCAAGGCGACGAUACAUAGCCGACCUGAGAGGGUGAUCGGCCACACUGGGACUGAGACACGGCCCAG